rnacentral:rRNA from 1 species
UGAGUACGAGACGCUAAGGCGUUGAAGUAGUGGAUGUCAUACUUCCAAGAAAAGCUUGCACUGUCGUAAAUGAAAAAUGCCUGUACCAUAACCGACACAGGUGGGUAGGUAGAGUAUACUAAGGGGCGCGAGAUAACUCUCUCUAAGGAACUCGGCAAAAUGACUCCGUAACUUCGGGAGAAGGAGUGCCUUAUUCGUAAGGCUGCAAUAACAAGAUCCAAGCAACUGUUUAUCAAAAACACAGGUCUCCGCUAAGUCGUAAGACGAUGUAUGGGGGCUGACGCCUGCCCAGUGCCAGAAGGUUAAAGAAGUCGGCUAGCAUUAGCGAAGCUGGUAACUGAAGCCCUGGUGAACGGCGGCCGUAACUAUAACGGUCCUAAGGUAGCGAAAUUCCUUGUCGGGUAAGUUCCGACCCGCACGAAAGGCGUAAUGAUUUGGAUACUGUCUCGGAGAGGGGCUCGGUGAAAUAGACUUGUCUGUGAAGAUGCGGACUACCUGCACCAGGACAGAAAGACCCUAUGAAGCUUUACUGUAACUUGAAAUUGAAAUUGGACUUUAUUCGCGCAGUAUAGGUGGGAGGCGUUGAUUAUAAUCUUGCGGGAUUAUUGGAGCCAUCAGUGAGAUACCACUCUUGUAAUGUUAGAUUUCUAACUUUGAAUCAUUAUCUGGUCAAAGAACAGUUUCAGGCGGGCAGUUUGACUGGGGCGGUCGCCUCCUAAACGGUAACGGAGGCGUACAAAGGUUUCCUCUGAACGGGUAGAAAUCGUAUCUAGAGUGUAAAGGCAUAAGGAAGCUUGACUGUGAGACCUACAAGUCGAGCAGGGACGAAAGUCGGUCUUAGUGAUCUGACGGUACUGAGUGGAAAGGCCGUCACUCAACGGAUAAAAGUUACUCUAGGAUAACAGGCUGAUCUCCCCUAAGAGUUCACAUCGACGGGGAGGUUUGGCACCUCGAUGUCGGCUCAUCGCAUCCUGGGGCGGUAGUACGUCCCAAGGGUUGGGCUGUUCGCCCAUGAAAGCGGUACGCGAGCUGGGUUCAGAACGUCGUGAGACAGUUCGGUCCAUAUCCGGUGUAGGCGUUAGAAUAUUGAGAGGAGCCUUCUUUAGUACGAGAGGACCGAGAAGGACAUACCUCUGGUGUACCAGUUAUCGUGCCAACGGUAAACGCUGGGUAGCUAUGUAUGGAGUGGAUAACCGCUGAAAGCAUCUAAGUGGGAAGCCCACCUCAAGAUAAGUAUUCUCAUCACGUAAGUGAGUAAGGUCACGGUAAGACUAACCGUUUGAUAGGCAUUAAGUGUAAGUACAGUAAUGUAUGUGCUGAGAUGUCCUAAUAGACCGAGGACUUG